rnacentral:rRNA from 1 species
GGAGGAAUAUUGGUCAAUGGGUGAGAGCCUGAACCAGCCAAGUAGCGUGCAGGAAGACGGCCCUAUGGGUUGUAAACUGCUUUUAUAAGGGAAUAAAGUGAGCCUCGUGAGGCUUUUUGCAUGUACCUUAUGAAUAAGGACCGGCUAAUUCCGUGCCAGCAGCCGCGGUAAUACGGAAGGUCCGGGCGUUAUCCGGAUUUAUUGGGUUUAAAGGGAGCGUAGGCCGGAGAUUAAGCGUGUUGUGAAAUGUAGGUGCCCAACAUCUGCACUGCAGCGCGAACUGGUUUCCUUGAGUACGCACAAAGUGGGCGGAAUUCGUGGUGUAGCGGUGAAAUGCUUAGAUAUGACGCAGAACUCCGAUUGCGAAGGCAGUCUUUCCAGCGCGCUACUGACGCUGAGGCACGAAAGCGUGGGGAUCGAACAGGAUUAGAUACCC